CUGUCCCACGAUGUGUCAUGUGUCACGUCGUUUACGGUCGAAGGUGGUGCAGACGCCGUACGACCUGACCAAGGUGUGACUGUCACCGCAAGACUCGGUCGUGAUAAGUGGGGGCCUCCCUUCUCGGGCAGCCAAAACUUUAACAUACUCUCCAACGAACUGAGACAAAAUGUCUUGGUCGUUUCCACAGCUCUCUGUAGUUUGUAUGACCUGACACUUCUGCUCAUGGAACCGCCAUCUUUUCAUUCGUCGUUCGUGGACUGGAUCAUUAAACUCAACAACACUGAUGACGAGGACAUGUACAUUGAAUUCCUUGACACAUACGGCACACACUUCGUGUCACGGGCUCGCUUUGGAGCUUCCAUAACGGUCAUCCACAAGAUCGAGGAUAACGUUUAUUAUUUGUUUAAGAAGGAUCACUUGACGUCAGCUGCCAGCUAUUCUACUUCUGCGCAUUUUGGACAUCCCCAAACCUUGACUUCUGAUCAACAAAAAGCAAUAGCAGAGUUUCGAAAUCACGAGACAACAACGUUUGCUGUCGGUGUCCCUCUACCUGAUGGCGGUAACAGCGCGAAGUGGUUUGACAGCAGUGAAAGAUAACCCUUCUGUCAUCAGCUAUGACUUGACCUCUGUGGAGGUUCUCUUUUCAGACACCUUCAUGGGUGCGCAAGUCCCACAAGGGUUAUGGCAUUGACCACGAGAAGAUCAAGAAAACAUCAUGGCUGUCAAGACCAAAUACUGUCGAGCUUUAAAGAGAAAGACCCGUUAGUUGACUGUAGAGAUACCACUAUAACACUGCUUUCUACGAAGUUUGAUUGGUAACUGGAAAUAUGGAACUGCCGAGUCCGCUGACCAGUGUCUUGAGGAAUGUUAUCAACUUGAAGGCUGCAUGGCUGUCAGUUUUUUGUCAUGGGUGUACGAGUGGCAACAAAGGCAGCAAGUGUCAAGGGUUUAAUGAUGACGACAUCCACAGGGCAGUCGCCGAUCCUCAGUGGCAGGCGAUCAUGUUAGUUGACAAACUGGACAUAUUUGUAGAGCUGCAAACACCACGGUUGUUGUCAACUCUUAGUUCUCUGUCUGACGUCUCUCCUGUUACCUCCGUACAGGACUGCUACUCAUCUUGUAUUGAAGAUGCCCAGUGUCUUGCUUUCACCUUUUACUGACACUUCGGGUUCAUCAAUGAACUGCACGCGCCACACAGACUCGCGUCUGUCCUUGACACAGGAAACAGGGGUCAGCGUGCACUUCCUCUCCUUGUAUGUCAGAAGAAUCGUCAGACACACGAGAGAAAAUGCUCCAUCCUCCAUGCUGAACGCAUGGCAACCAGGCCGCCUGUGUCAUCGACUCCGAGUGUCGUCAGGAAAACUCGAUGUGCUUUGUAAACAGGUGCCGCUGUCGACCUGGGUUCUUCUUCUCAACGCGUGACUACACGUGCUCUGAGACAUGUAGUCCAGCCAACCUGGACGACGACGUCAUGGAUUAUCCUGAGAGCGGACUGAGGGGAUACAAUAUCGUGGAACGGGAUGGAGUCAGUGUGUACGGUGCUUCAACCUGUGGUGUCAACAACAGAGCUUGUCUGUCCUUUGACUUCAGAGACACAGGAGGGCGCUGUCUGCUUCAUGACAUCACGCACGUGACGCUCGGGUUCGAUGGUAUCCUCACACCAGUGCAGGCUGGACCCACUACCAGAGAACCUGCCUGCAGUCUUCCGCCUCAUACCCGGGACCAGUGUGGUACAACGUAUCCUGCAACAACAACAGAGAAUGUCCUCAACCUACAGUCGAUGUGUGUCGGGUAUGUUUGUGUAUUGACGGCUUGUUUACUUGGAAACUGACUCCUCGUGUGGUG
rnacentral:lncRNA from 1 species